AUAUAUUUUUUUAUGAAGUAGCUAAAACACAGCUUCAUUAGCGCACUCAGGUCCUGGCCUUCAUGAUUUCUAUUCAAUUUCGCACGUUACACACUAUCGACUAAUAUUGCCUAUCAUGUGUCUGCAGUGAAAGAAAAGCUGCAGUGCUGGAUGCCCCUCCCCUUGUGGAUGCACACCCUAAUUAAGUUCUGCAGAUGCCCCUGCUUAGAAUGGAAGAAAGUUGAGCUAAUUGUUUGAUUCAGCCAAAAGAAUCGGGUUUUCGAGACCAACUGACGGGCAGCCAAGCCCCCUUAUCUCAGACCGUGCGUAACCAAAGCUUUCUGCCUCAACAAAUUCGUGGCCUGGGCCUAGGCCGCCCCCAAGGAGGACCGAAGACCCUGUGUCGUCGUUGCCUGAAGGGAUUGCUGGAUGCCCAAUUGAUCCUGGAGGUUGGAGCUAGCGCGGCCGUCCACCGCGCCGCAGCUUCAUCCGAAGCCUCGUGGCUGUAGUGGUUCCAAGAUGGGCGGCCUAGUUACCAGUCCAACCUUGGGCACUCUCCCAAUUGCUGCACUUAGUUGAGCCAUUAGUGUCCCACCUAUGUUAACUCAAUGCGACCGGCUUCUCACACUUCUCUAAAAGUGCAUACCAGCUUCUAUUUGACUGCUUGCAACAACUUUCAGGACUGACUACACGCACACCAAUUGAGUGUGUGUAGUGAUUUUUAUUGUAGCACACAUUCCAAUUCCAAAAGCAGCAUUAAUUGCUGUCUGCUUUAGGUGCAGCUAAUUACUCCCAUUACGAGGUCACCUUAGCCAAUGUAUACCUGUCGCAGGUCGCCUUCACGUGGGCUAGGCAUAAUUGCACAGCAGCUAGCUGUGCAGCAAAUACCACGUUCAUCCUUGCAUUGAAUGCUUGAAACAAUCUAAAAGUAAACAGCCUCCUUAAAUUAAAAAAUAAUUAUCGUGGCCAUUAAUUUUUUUCAUUUGACUCUGCCCGAGAACAGCAGUACAGAUGCGUACCACUUUUCAUGCCCGGCUAUAAAGACAGUGGUAUGUACCACUUCUUUCUCAGGAUCUAUUCUGCUGAGUUUCUUGAGAAUAAUAUAAAACAUUUUCUUAAGUCAUCCUAAAUGUGGUUCUAAAGAUAACUUGAAGGUAGAGCCUCACAAAGGGUUAAUCAAGCAUUGUCGUUUGCACUUUGAAAUGACUGCACCUCUCCAAACACACUUUUUAGCUUCUACUUUCAUCACCAAAGGCUUUUCAAAGCAUUUCCGGUAUAUCAGGUACUGUUUUCCCCCAACUGCUUCAUUUAUGCUGUUCAAAAAAUUUCAAACCAGUCAAUGCUUUGUUUAUUCAGUGGCUGUAGCCUUUUUAUUAGCAGUGGUUAGAGUGAUGCAGCUAUAAGCAUUGUGCUACUGAAUGUUGCUAUUGUUUACUGCCUCAACUCUCAUUGUGUUCCACUCAGGUUUAGGCACUGCUUGCUUUCAGUGUGUUUUUGAUCAUGCUUCAUAUGAUGCAGUGAAAUGCCCAAGCCACCUUCCCACCUCACCCUCCACCCCACCCCACAUCAUGAAGAAAAGUGGUGCAUUACCUGCAAGCACUGUAGUUUCAGCGACGGAGAGCCUCUGGUGUGAGACAUCCAUUAAAUGGCCGUAGUGCUGCCUCUGAAAUUCUGCGAAGACUUGGUUGCCUUUUUCUGUGACAUCAAGUGUUGCAAAACAAUGCUUGUCUAUCUUGCAGCUGCCAUGCUGUUUCUUUUGCCGUUGACGCUUUUCUGUUGGAACUUCUGCAUACAUGCCUGAACGAUGACAACGGAGGUAGUGCUUGAAGACGCCGGGUGAAUUUUCUUUCUUUCCUGUGGAGGCAACAAAAUGGCUGCAAGUUUCUCUUUCCAUUUUAUCCUUCCAGGAUAGGAACUCUGAAAAUAAAAGGUCAUAGAAA